GGCUUCCCGAACGAGAACCAACGUACAGAACACGAUAGGCGCGGCGCAUGCCGCGUGGUUGUAAUGAUGCAGCAGUGCAGGAGUACGUCCUUGACUUAAGCAUAUCAGUAAGGACAGGAAAAGAAACAAACUUGGAUUUCUUCAGUAGUGGCGAACGAACAAGAAGGAGCUCUAGUGGCAAGGCUGCGGCCGUUGUGGAUGUUCUGCACAGAUUCUAUGGAAAGAGAAGCCGCAGGUGGUGACAGCCCACGCAGGAACAUGAGCGGACGAGUAGUACUGCUUGGUAGUGCAGUAUGAAGGGGUGGUAUGAGCAUCCAAAGCUAAAUACAGCGGGAAGACCGAUAGCGAAGAAGUACCGCGAGGGAAAGAUGAAAAAACUUGUGUAAGAUGAAAGACAGAAAGUAGACGAGACUAAGCCUAUGUAUAGGACCCGUAUUGAAACACGGACCAAGGAGAUUUCCACGGCAGCGAGGCGGCGGCUGGCAAGGCCCUGGCCGAGAGCAAUUGGGGAGUUGCAGUGGUAAGACCCGAAAGAUAGUGAACUAUAUCUGUCGGUAUUGAAGUCAGGAGAAAUUCUGAUGGAGGAUAUUAGCCGUUCUGAUGUUCAAUUCGAUGGCGAGAGAUGGGUAUAGGGGCGAAAGACCAAACGAACUAUCUGGUAGCUGGUUCCGGUCGAAAUGUCUCUCAGGACAGCGGUGGGGGUGUAGGAGAAUGCAGUAGAGAGGAUGUGGACAUUGUCAACAAACUCCGAAUGUGUUGAGCCGCGUGCGAGCGAGCGCGCGGCGGUCUAGGAGCUCCCCACCAGUGGGCAGAUUGUGGUAAGCAUGAUCUGCAAGAAGCAAAGAAGCUAGAAGCAGGCUAAGCAACCUAAGACAGAACAGGCAAGAAAGUAGAUGGCCAAGUUAGGACAGUAGGACGGUGGCCAUGGAAGUUGGAAGCCGCUAAGAAACGUGUUAGAACGUACCUAUCGAAUUUGGGAUAGACUAAAAUUGAAGGUGGUGAUCUGUCGUGCGAGGCCUGCAUAUUGGUAGACUGGCACGCGGGCUGCGCAGAAGCGUGCGGGCGACCGUGCGUGGAGGGGCCUGCGGAGCAGAUCUUGGAAGUAGUAGCGACUAUUAUUAGGACAUUUCGAGUCGGGUUCAUCCUUUUGAUGGAAGGAGGUGACGCGACCCUAGCAAAAGGGAGGCAUGGGGAUGCUCAUGCGGCGGCCGCGGGAUAGCGAUAUGGGGACGACGGCUGGACAAAAGCCCGGUGGCAAUUUGCCGGGCAUCAGAUCUGCGGAGCGUUACACUGAGAGGCAGAGCAACAGCCUGAUAAAAAGCACGCGGCCGGUCGUACCGAACCGCAGCAGGACUCGAGGGUGAGUAGCCCGAUGUCGCAGACAACCCGCGCAAGGGAAAUCGGCAAAAUGGAUGAGUAACUUUGGGAGAAUUAUUGGCUCUAGCAUGCUAGAACUGGGCUUACAAGGGGAAUCUGACUGUUUAAUAAAAACAUAGCUUUCCGCGGAUGGAAAGUGAAUUCUGCCCAGUGCUCGGGACGUUAAAGAAGUAAUAUACAGUACGCACCUGUAAACGGCGGGAGUAACUAUGACUCUCUUAAGGUAGCCAAAUGCCUCGUCAUCUAAUUAGUGACGCGCAUGAAUGGAGCAACGAGAUUCCCACUGUCCCUGCGCGGGCAGCGCGAACCUACAGCCAAGGGAACGGGCUUGGGACAUGCAGCGGGGAAAGAAGACCCUGUUGAGCUUGACUCUAGUGAGGCAGAGGCGCUUGCUGUGAUGCCGCAGCAAGGUGGGGGAAGUGUGCAAGACCACUGGCAUAUGCAGCGAGCGUGUUAGAUGCCUGAUGGGGAGUUUGGCUGGGGCGGCACGACUGCUACACGGCAACGCAGUUGUCCAAAGGUGAGCUACGAGGGGAAGGAAACCACUCUUUGAGCAGAAGGGCAAAAGCUUGCUUGAGGCUCCGGCAUGCGCCGGGGCCACUGGAAACAGGGGCCUAUAGAUCCUCUUCUAGGUUAUGCGAAGAGGUGACGGAAAAGUUACCACAGGGAUAACUGGCUUGUGGCGGCCGAGCGAACACAGCGACGCCGCUUUUUGAUUCUUCGAUGUCGGCUCUUCCUAGCAUGGUGAAGCAGAAAUCACCUAGUGUUGGAUUGUUCACCCACCAACAGGGAACGUGAGCUGGGUUUAGACCGUCGUGAGACAGGUUAGUUUUACCCUACUGAUGACUUGUCGCCGCGAUAGUAAUCCUGCUCAGUACGAGAGGAACCGCAGGUUCGGACACUUGGUUCAUGCACUCGGUCGAGUGGCCGGUGGUGCGACGCUACCAUCCGCGGGAUUAUGCCUGAACGCCUCUAAGGCCGUAUCCCCUCUAGACGAGUGUUCCGCGACGAUAUUUUCAAGGAGUCCCGUGAGUCGAAAGGCUCAAUCCAAAGUGAUCUCUACUAGGCGGUAUAGGGGUCUCAGCGCCCCCCGUCGAUCGAGCCCCUGUUUAGCCGCACCGCCGGGGGUCCCUGCGGGGUGUCCCUCCGAAAGGAGCGCGCUCCCCGUAUCCCCGGAUGGCGGCCGACCUUGGGUACUCACCAGUUCGAUGUCGGGACUCGGAAUCGUCUGUAGACGACUUAGCUUCCGGGCGGGGUGUUGUAUUCGGUAGAGCAGUUGCCACGCUG
rnacentral:rRNA from 1 species